CAUAGAUGUAAAUAUUUUUUUCUAUUUUAAUUUGACAAUGAAUAUUAUUGCUUAUGUUGACAUGUCUUAAUGUUCUAUUUAGCCUCUCUCAUUGGUAUUUUCGUCAAAAUUCCAUCUUCAAAGAACCAUCAUCUCAUCAACAAACACCAACAAACACCUGUGCAAGUUGUCGAAGUCAAAUCUUUUGAGAACUCUAAGGACACUCCUUGUAAUCCUAAUUAUAUGAUCACACCCAACAUAGAUGCCCGAAUGCAACAUUGAUCCAUCAAAUGGAAAGGGUUCUAUUGGCAUCGAUGUUGCAGCAUAAGAAGAGGUUGAUAAAUCUUUCAAAAUCUCAAGAAUAGUGUCCAUGCAGCAAGAUGAUCAGUUUAAUGAGAUCCUAUUGAUGAUAUCUGCUCCAAGAAAAAUCAACUAUCCAGCUUCUGCUCAUUCAUCUAUGCAAACUCUCCACCUCACAUGGUUUAAGUUUUCAUUUUCCUAAACCAACUAAAAUAAAAGAUGAAGCAAGUGAUAGUGAGAGUGACACUCACUCAUCUCCUCCACAUCCUUUAGAGAAAUUGGAGUGUCCCAAGAGAUCUUUCCAUCUUCACAUAUCAAGCACAGAGAUAGCCAUGCCACACAAACUCGAACAAACAAUAAGUCGCCAUGUCAUAUAUAAUCUUCAAAUCCUUCAUCGACUCACACUCCACCACAAGAUAUGUCUACCAUUACACUUUCAUAUGCUACGUGUAUACACUACCAAUACUCUAAGCAGGAAGAAAUCCAAAUGUGGAUGAGAUACAUUACCACACACAUGUGGAUGAGAAAUCCAAAUGUGUAUACACUACCAAUAUGACGGUUCAAUCAUUGAUGCUCGCUCUAAGAUCACUCAAUUUAAUUAUUUAUUUUGAUAUAUACAAAAUCAAUUUCAUGAGCUUGAAAGACAAACAUUAUCUCAAUCUCUCAGCUCAUCAUCUCCAUCUAUGAAUUCUACUCUUGUACUUGAUGAGGCUACCACAAAACAGGAGAUGAAUAACCCUUUAUCAGCAAUUGCUAAUGGAGAAGGGUCUUCUCGUCCCUCACAGUUAAUUCUUGAAAUGUUCAACUUAAUAGAUGAAUCAACAGUUAAGUCAAUGACCUAUUUAUCAUGUUGGAUUUAGUUGAUUUUAUUUUUUCCUAUUAAUGGAUAAUUUUAUUUUACUAUAAGAAA